rnacentral:rRNA from 1 species
CAGCCGCCGCGGGAAUACGUAGGGUGCAAGCGUUAAUCGGAAUUACUGGGCGUAAAGCGUGCGCAGGCGGUUAUAUAAGUCAGAUGUGAAAUCCCCGGGCUCAACCUGGGAACUGCAUUUGUGACUGUAUAGCUAGAGUACGGUAGAGGGGGAUGGAAUUCCGCGUGUAGCAGUGAAAUGCGUAGAUAUGCGGAGGAACACCGAUGGCGAGGGCAGCCCCCUGGGAUAACACUGACGCUCAUGCACGAAAGCGUGGGAAGCAAACCGGAUUAGAUACCCCAGUAGUCCCUGUCUCUUAUAC